UACGAAGGGGGCUAGCGUUGCUCGGAAUCACUGGGCGUAAAGCGCACGUAGGCGGCUUUUUAAGUCAGAGGUGAAAUCCUGGAGCUCAACUCCAGAACUGCCUUUGAUACUGGAGAGCUUGAGUCCGGGAGGGGUGAGUGGAACUGCGAGUGUAGAGGUGAAAUUCGUAGAUAUUCGCAAGAACACCAGUGGCGAAGGCGGCUCACUGGCCCGGUACUGACGCUGAGGCGCGAAAGCGUGGGGAGCAAACAGG
rnacentral:rRNA from 1 species